GGCCUGGGGAGGUGGGGGAAAAAGAGGCCAAAACAAGCAAGGAAUGUAACUCUNGAGUAUUAUAUCCUGGCCCACACCCUGGCUUUUCCCAUGGACCGCUAACAAAAUCUCCCCACAAU
rnacentral:rRNA from 1 species